rnacentral:rRNA from 1 species
UAAGGAAUAUUGGUCAAUGGACGCAAGUCUGAACCAGCCAUGCCGCGGGAAGGAUGAAGGUCCUCUGGAUUGUAAACUUCUUUUAUCUGGGACGAAAACGGGAUUUUUAUCUCAAUUGACGGUACCAGAGGAAUAAGCACCGGCUAACUCCGUGCCAGCAGCCGCGGUAAUACGGAGGGUGCGAGCGUUAUCCGGAUUUACUGGGUUUAAAGGGUGCGUAGGUGGGCUUAUAAGUCAGUGGUGAAAUCUCCGAGCUUAACUUGGAAACUGCCGUUGAUACUAUAGGUCUUGAAUUAUCUGGAGGUAAGCGGAAUAUGUCAUGUAGCGGUGAAAUGCUUAGAUAUGACAUAGAACACCAAUUGCGAAGGCAACUUACUACAUAUAAAUUGACGCUGAGGCACGAAAGCGUGGGGAUCAAACA